rnacentral:tRNA from 1 species
GGAUUUGUGGUGUUAUGAAACGCUAACAGAUACGACUAAAAUCCACAGAAAAAUACCGGCUCCCAACGACUUGCAAUGCGAUAGGGCCCGAGAGGGUCGCUAGGGUUCGAAUCCCUACAUCUCCGCCA